UACGUAGGCAGCGAGCGUUGUUCGGAGUUACUGGGCGUAAAGGGUGUGUAGGCGGUUCUUUAAGUUUGGUGUGAAAUCUCCCGGCUCAACCGGGAGGGUGCGCCGAAUACUGAGGAACUAGAGUACGGGAGAGGAAAGUGGAAUUCCUGGUGUAGCGGUGAAAUGCGUAGAUAUCAGGAGGAACACCGGUGGUGUAGACGGCUUUCUGGACCGUAACUGACGCUGAGACACGAAAGCGUGAGUAGCAAACAGG
rnacentral:rRNA from 1 species